GGCCUUAUGGUCUAGUAGCAUGAUUCUCGCUUUGGGUAUACUCCGAUGCGAGAGGUCCUGGGUUCAAUUCCCAGUGAGGCCC